AGAGUUUGAUCAUGGCUCAGAACGAACGCUGGCGGCACGCCUAACACAUGCAAGUCGAGCGCUACCUUCGGGUGGAGCGGCGGACGGGUUAGUAACGCGUGGGAACAUACCCUUUUCUACGGAAUAGCCUUUGGAAACGAAGAGUAAUACCGUAUACGCCCUUCGGGGGAAAGAUUUAUCGGUUAAGGAUUGGCCCGCGUUAGAUUAGAUAGUUGGUGGGGUAAUGGCCUACCAAGUCUACGAUCUAUAGCUGGUUUGAGAGGAUGAUCAGCAACACUGGGACUGAGACACGGCCCAGACUCCUACGGGAGGCAGCAGUGGGGAAUCUUAGACAAUGGGCGAAAGCCUGAUCUAGCGAUGCCGCGUGAGUGAAGAAGGCCCUAGGGUCGUAAAGCUCUUUCGCCAGGGAUGAUAAUGACAGUACCUGGUAAAGAAGUCCCGGCUAACUCCGUGCCA
rnacentral:rRNA from 1 species